CGUACGGAUAUUUAAAGGAUUCUUGUUCAAUUCUCUUGCUAGAAAUAUCCUGACGUUUUUCCACUGGUGAGCCAAAUGACCACAAAAAUCUUGUCAGGAUCAUCAAGAUGCCAAAGCACAUACUUUUUGAAGAAAAACAUCCUAAAGACACAUGGGAAGAUAAUUGGAGCUUGUCUGGAAAAUGGGAACCACUGGACACUUUUCCUUAUUUGCAUCAGCCAGAGGAUGCAAAGGCAAUUGGACAAUCUCCAGUGUCAAACAUCCACAACAGCAAGAUGGCCAC